UGAUAGCUCAGCCAGUAGAGCAUGAGACUCUUAAUCUUAGGGUCAUGGCUUUGAGCCCCAUGUUUGGCAAAA
rnacentral:tRNA from 1 species